rnacentral:rRNA from 1 species
GUGGGUAACCUGCCUCAUACAGGGGGAUAACAGUUAGAAAUGACUGCUAAUACCGCAUAAGACCACAGAGCCGCAUGGCUCGGUGGGAAAAACUCCGGUGGUAUGAGAUGGACCCGCGUCUGAUUAGGUAGUUGGUGGGGUAACGGCCUACCAAGCCAACGAUCAGUAGCCGACCUGAGAGGGUGACCGGCCACAUUGGGACUGAGACACGGCCCAAACUCCUACGGGAGGCAGCAGUGGGGAAUAUUGCACAAUGGGGGAAACCCUGAUGCAGCGACGCCGCGUGAGCGAAGAAGUAUUUCGGUAUGUAAAGCUCUAUCAGCAGGGAAGAAAAUGACGGUACCUGACU